rnacentral:piRNA from 1 species
UCCCUCGGACUACACAAAUUUUAUUGGA